UGACCUCGGAUCAGGGAAGGAAUACCCGCUGAACUUAAGCAAACAAUAAGCGAAGAAAAAUA
rnacentral:rRNA from 1 species